UGGGGAAUUUUGCACAAUGGGCGGAAGCCUGAUGCAGCGACGCCGUGUGGGGGAUGAAGGCCUUCGGGUUGUAAACUCCUUUCGUCAGGGACGAAGUUUGUUUGACGGUACCUGGAUAAGAAGCACCGGCUAACUACGUGCCAGCAGCCGCGGUAAUACGUAGGGUGCGAGCGUUGUCCGGAUUUACUGGGCGUAAAGGGCUCGUAGGUGGUGUGUUGCGUCGUCUGUGUAAUCCAGGGGCUUAACUUUUGGGUGGCAGGCGAUACGUGCAUUGCUUGAGUGCUGUAGGGGAGACUGGAAUUCCUGGUGUAGCGGUGAAAUGCGCAGAUAUCAGGAGGAACACCGAUGGCGAAGGCAGGUCUCUGGGCAGUUACUGACGCUGAGGAGCGAGAGCAUGGGUAGCGAACAGG
rnacentral:rRNA from 1 species